UGAAAUAUUGUGUGGUCAGCUCUAGAUACUUUCUUAAUGAAUGAAUGCGAGUAUGGAGAAGAGUAACAGGAAUUAAGAAGCUGGAAGGACUCAUUUAUAGAGAACUAAGACCCCAGUCCUAAAAUGAGAGCUGUGCAAAGGGAAUGAGACUCACCCAGUGUUCAUUGCAGGAUUGGGGCCUAAAAUAAUUGUCAUGUCCUUUUUUACUAAGAAGUGUUGUUAUUCUUAUUUGGCUUAUGCAAUUUGGUCAAGCCAAGCCACAGUGUUCUUAUCAAUGAUGUUCAAGGCAUGAAGGCCUCCAGGAAGCUGUCAUUUUGCAGUCCUCAACAAUAUGUCAUGGUUUGUGGCUGCCCACAUAGACAUAGUGGACUAUCUCUAAAAUGCCACCGAAAUUCUGCUGCAGCACAAAUUCCAUGUCUGGUACAAAACUGGUCCAGAAGGCUUCAUUGCCUUUGCGUAAAUCAAACCUGGGUUGACGUUGAGUGGGAUCCAAGACAAGGUAAUAAUUUGUCACUUACUUUGCGAACCAUGAAACCCAUUUUGUGUCCUCUACCAUAAAUCCCUCACUCAGUAAAUUUAUCCACAGCGGGCGAUGUGAGGGCAGACGACCAUGUGAUGGAUUAAACAAGUCUUUAAUUAACGGAAGAUAUGGCAUAUCAUGCAAUUCUGUCAUGAGCUUUGCGACACUUCCUGAGAACACUGGGCAGAGCAAUAUUGCAGAGAACUAGUAACCAAGGUAGAGGAGAAUUAAGUGUACCUGAAAGGAUACGCAUGGUGGAAUUAAGUUGUAGAUCAUCCUUGUAUGAGAUGAGCGAGCCCAAACUGAUGCACAGUACUCCACUGCUGAACAACAGAGUGCCAAGGCUGAAGUAAAUACUUUUUGGGUGUUGACGCCGCAUAUCGUUCUGGCCAGUUUUCCGAGCAGGUUGUUGUACAUUUUGACCUUAGUCGUUGUCUUGUCUAAGAAGUGAAGAGGGAAGAUUAUGAGAUCAGUUUACAAAUAUUUACAAAAGGUAAACAAGAAGGAAAAAGAGGAACUAUUUAUGGUAGUAGAUGGCAGUAUAACCAAAGUGCCAUCUACUCUGCAGUAUGGCAGGUCAGAAAACAAAUCAGAAUAAAAUGUAGAUUAAAAAAUGGGAAAACGUCUCACAAUGUUUUUUCUUUUUCCAGCUUCCCCUACUCUGCAACAAGCUAAACUUCAAUUCUGCAAUAGUAUGGCACAACAAACUGGCAGUUUUACAAUAACACCAUUUAAGUUUAAAAAAUUAAAAAUUGACAAUUUACAAAUUUUUCUUUAGGUUUCAAAGUUGAUCCAUUGAGCUAUAUAGAGCAGUUUAAGCCUUUUAGAACUACAGUUACAGAAUGUCCGUAAACUCAAGAAGACACCACUGCAUUUGUUUGUACACUGAACACUUUCAGCAAUAUCUUCUAUGAGGGCUAGCAAUAUUUUUAAGUGAAAUUUUAAAUUGGGAAACCCAGUGCAAAGGCAAGAGGUAGAUUCCACAGCCACAAAAAUCACUGUCUAUGUACAGACCUAGGAGAGAGAACACUUGGAGACACAUUCCAUUUUUUCUAUAAUUUACACAACAAUGCUGUCAUCAUAACCAAGGAGAGAGGUGCAACAUAAUCUGCCUAAUAAAUGUAUAUAAAUGCAGCUGCAGACAUUUUCUAAAAUCUUAUAUAUUCAGAGAGCAUGUGCACACUGAUAGUACUGUCGUAGUGACUGAACUGAGAAUUCAAAUGUGGAGGGGCUAAAACCUUUACAUGGGCAACCUCUCCUAUGCAAAAUAUAUAUUUGUAAUUGAUACCAUCAGGUGUAUUCCAACAGCAAAUAUUUGCUCUUCUGACAUAUCUUUAUCAUCCAGAGACUUGUGUCUUCCUUGGCAGCGAGUGAUGUUUUAGCAGUAGCCAGAGAAGGCUGGGCAACACCCCUUCUAAUUCCCCACGUUCACUUUGUAUAGCAAAGUUGGGGGAGGGGGUUGUGAAAGGAGAUAAUGUGUGUACCCAGGAUGUGUGAUCCAUAGAAGGCUUGAUUUCUAGAAAGCAGGCAAACUUUCAUUUAGGUAUCCAUACCAUGCAGGGGAAGGGACAAGAAAGUAUGUAGUGAGGAGAGAGGGGAUGAUCCUACAACACCUCACUCAGAGUCCACUACAGAAAUAUGAACAUGGGCAGGAAAUAAGACAAUAAAAUAGCCGUAAUUAAUAAUAAGAAAGCAGGUAGAAACUAAAGAAACCGCACUAAUAUACUACAGUAACCAGAGUAGACAACUAGCAAUAUUAAUACUAUUACUCAAAAUGGUCUAUUUUCCCCAAUGUCUGCAAUAAGCAAAUACAGAACUUAAAAUAAAAUUAUCUUAGAAGUUGCCUCUUUCUAGCUUUUUGGCCCCUUCCUCUCAUUUCCCUUCCCAUCUCUCACUCAUUCUCUGCCUUCUCACCAUUUUUUCUCAUUCACAUUUCUAUACAGUGUAUUCUCUUAUAUUUAUUAGUCCUUUCAGGAUUUCACCUUCUGUAGGUCUCCCCCACUAUCAUCAACUGUCUUCUUCCAUUGACCCCGUUGGAUUUCCACACUUAGCAUUUCCUUCUUUGCCACCUUUGUUCCUCCCCCUGUUCCCCAGGAUUUUCACUCCACUCUCCACCCUGGGAGUCUCCCCUCCCCUUUUUUGGAUUCCCCUUCAUCCUCUCUUUCCCUCAUUCCCAUGAGAUUCUCUCCACCAUCCCCUCACUACUUUCCUGGAAUUUUCUUCUCCCCUUUUGUCACUCUUUACAAGGCCCCAAGAGGCAGGACCACAGUGAUAGAAGAAGAGAGACAGAAAGAGGCUGGGGACCCUCCAAGGCAAGGGGUAUUUCUCUCUUACUCCUCACACCUUACUCUCCUUCACUGCAGGGUUAGCAGUGUGAGGAAGAAGAGACUAAUGCUGACAGGCCAGUGGGGGUUGCUAUAAUGCUCCUCUGCACUCAGCUGUGGUGCUGGAAGUGGCUUGAAAAACAGCUUUUCUACCUCUUCCCAGAUGCUGGAUAAACGAGGCAGGGGGCAACAGGACCACAGAGAUAAAUGCAGAGCUGUUCUACAAUCUGUUAGAUCAUAGAAUUGUCCCACAAGGGAAAUAAGAAUGUAAGAAUGGCCCUAUUGGGUCAGACCAAAGGUCCAUCUAGCCCAGUAUCCUGUCUUCCGACAGUGGCCAGUGCCAGGUACCCCAGAAGAAAUGAACUGAACAGGUAAUCAUCAAGGGACACUAUUCCUCCCAUCCUGGCUAAUAUCCAUUGAUGGACCUAUCAGUAGUGAGAUCCCCAUUGCUUGGGACAUACACGUCAAGCAUGGCAAUGUGCUAGUUAAAAUCCUGCAUUGGCAGGGGCUGGACCUGGUGGACUAAGAGGUCUUUUCCAGCUCUAAUUUCAAUCUUUCUGUGACUCCACAGGGAAAUCCAAUCUAUCUCACAAAGCUCCUUUGCUUGCAGUAAACAUCAGAGCUAAGUGGUUGCCGCUGCAUGGUAGCUUCAUUCUGGAUUCUAUUUAACAUAAAUAAGUUCCACAGCUGCUCCUGAAGCACUGGGAAUUUCACAGCUCAAAGGGACAUUGUCAAUGCCACAUUUCUAAUUUGUUAAGGAGUGGGUGGAAUGGACUUCUUACAAAAUUGCCAUGAACAGAAUGGUUUAAAGCAAAAUAUUUACAAAAUCAGCUAACAUUAUUUUGAAUGAUCCCUUGUCAUUUCAGUCAGGGCAUAAUAGCAUGUUGCAGGAGAACCCGCCAUCUGCUGCUGUCCGGGAAUGUGAGUGAAACACAAGUGGGAGGCCACAGCCUUCCUGUGUGGCCUUCGACUAGUCACUUAACUCCUCCAUACUAUCACUCUGUGAAAUGGGGAGCAGGGGAAUGAGGAAAACUUCAUAUUUAUAGAGCAUUUUGAGAACUGUGGAGGAAAGAACUGAAGUGCACAGUAUUAUUUAUUAUCAAAAGUGAGCAAAUGUGGGGAGAAGAAAGCAUGGUUAAUAUUCUUUCCAUUCUGGUAAUGUCUAGUUAUUUCUAACAAUGGUAAGGAAUGUUUCCUAACAAGCUAUGUUGACAGUGUCCUAACUGUGAUUUAAUAGAUGGGGCACCAGCAUGCACAGCAAAACCCUGCUCGGCACCAUGAUCAGUACAGUAUCGUGUGCUUCCUGGAUUGCCAUUGAGUAGGAGUCGGCAACCUUUCAGAAGUGGUGUGCUGAGUCUUCAUUUAUUCACUCUAAUUUAAGGUUUCGCGUGCCAGUAAUACAUUUUAACAUUUUUAGAAGGUCUCUUUCUAUAAGUCUCUAAUAUAUAACUAAACUAUUGUUGUAUGUAAAGUAAAUAAGGUUUUAAAAAUGUUUAAGAAGCUUCAUUUAAAAUUAAAUUAAAAUGCAGAGCCCCCUGGACUGAUGGCCAGGACCCGGGCAGUGUGAAUGCCACUGAAAAUCAGCUCGUGUGCUGCCUUCGGCACGCGUACCAUAGAUUGCCUACCCCAUAAAGGGCAUGGAGUCAAUACUGAGCCAUACCGAGGGAUUCCUUGGCACUCUUAUGGAAAGGCGGGUGGGCCAGCUUCCCUGGACCAACUUAGCAAAGGCUUUUGUGGUUUUUACGGACAUUUAAUAAAGGAAUCCUUGCCUGACACAGAAGCAGCGCCUUUAUAGAUUUUGCUAUAUAGUGUUUGAAGAAAAAUACAUACAUAUUAAAUGUAUAAAAUACAUUUCAUAUAUUGAUCCUAGUUAAAGUUUAUUACAUUCAUCCAAAGCAGGUUAUGUUACUUGAAGGUAACUUUCUGUAAUAAGAUUGUGAGCUCUUUGGGGCAGAGUCUGAUUUCAGUGUGUGUUUUACAUACAUAAAGGAGCUAGCACAAUGAGACUCUGAUCUAUGACUGGGGCUUCUAGGCACUACCACAAUACAAAUACUAAAUAAAUAAUAAUAAGACCACUGCAUCUUUCCAAGCUCAUUUCACAUCCAGCUGGAAUUUAGCAAUACCUUACUAGGAAACAAAUAAUGCAGGAAAUGGGAAAGAGGGACGGAAUUUGAUGAACGGCCCUACAACCAAUGAAUAAGACUGAAAAAUUGAAGGGCAGUUAUCAUUCUAGGAGAAUAAAAGUUAUAAAGGAGAGAAUGCUGAGAUCGGGCACUGAGUCUGGUCAAAGAUUCACAUCAGCAUAGAAUAGAUAAUCCAGCCUUCGACAGAAUUAACUGUUACCUGUCAGAAAGUAUCUCCGGUACUAUGACUAUAGCUUAAAGCCAAUCAAUAAUCCAGGCACAAAGAGCAGAGGAAAGAGAAUCCAUAGCCAUAUGUCACUUAUCCUUAUAACUGAACAAAAUGUACCAGCUGUUCAUGUAUAAGAUUUACAGCCUUUGGUAAACAUGUGGACAACUUCAGAUUAAUAGAUGCCUAUAUAAAAAUGAAGCAAUUAUUAAAUAUAUUGAACAUCACAAUAAUUAUAGAUUACAUUUUUAAACAUUCUCAAAGUUAAAAUAUUUGAUUCAAUUGUAAUUAAAUACAAAUGUCAACCUAAAAACUAAUUUUAAAAGUUGUAUUUUUGGGGGUGAAUGUGUUAGAAAUAUUUUAAUGAUUACAUAUAAAAUGCUGUAGAUGUGAAUAGUGCUUAUUUCAUGGAAAAUGCAAUUUGAUGCCUGAAGCAGUUAGAACCCAAUUCAAACAGGAAAGUAGCAUCCAUGUAAGUACUUGAAAAGAGCUGAGAGUUUCUUUAAGAAAACACUAGUAUUUCCACAUGACCUACUGAAGGGAAGGAGCACUGGUAUGCUGCCAAAUUCCAAGAGAGCUGAGCAGUGAUUAGAGUUUAACUCCAGCAUAGGAGAGAAAUGUUUUCCUUUGAUAUCCCAACUCUAAAAAAAAUUCCACAGCCCUCUGACUUCUCAAAUUCAAAAACAUCCAAUGAAUACCAGUAAAGGGAUUUCACUUGGGAGAAACUUCCAGUGUAUUUCAAUUUUGUAAUUCAGCAAAACAUCCAAUAAUUUUUCACUUCAUGCAGACACAUAGCAUGCCAAUGUGUGUGUGUGUAAUUCUGUAGCCCUGAGCAGCAUGGGAGACAAGCUAAUUUUUUCAAUAAAUCAGAUUUAGAGAUUACUACAGUAUGGGGCAAGGACAAAGGCCCCCAUCCUGCUCCCACUGAAAAUUCUGGCACUGAUCUUCAGUAGAAGCAGAACUGAACCAUAGAUGGGGACUGGUGCAGCAAUCCAAUAUUAACUUGCAGGGGAAGAGUGCAGCUCACGGCUCUAGCUCAGUUUCAAUUUGGCUGCAGAAGCAGCAGACAGAACCCCCAGGAUGAGGACAAUGCUGUGUGUCACUUAGUGCUGAUCCCUCUGGCCAACUCAGGAGCAGUUUUGAUGGACCUUGUAGAGAACUGAGUUUAGUUCUCAGCUAAAGGGCUAGGUAGGCUGACAAGGGCAGGGGAAAGAAAGUACUGUGGGGGACAGCGUGUGGAAAAGAAGGAUCCAGUGAGGUUCCCUGAAAGGCUCAGGCAUUGUUGAAAAUAAAGUGCUCUUUUCUCAGACCUACAGGUCCGCCUAGCUUACCCUGGAAAUGUACUGAACAGCUUUCCAAGGAUGUAGAAUAACAGACAGCGUUCACCAGUGUCUGACAGGCUCUUUGGCCAGAUAGCCUCAUCAGAGCUUGCACAUGUGACUUGUGCCUGAAAGUUCUGCCAAAUAUAGGCCUUAAAGGAAAAUUGCAUCUCAUUUGUUCAUCCCACCUUUUACAAGUUCACAUGCUUUUAUAGAACCCGAACCACCAAAAAAGAAAAUCAACCUUCUUCUGGUGGCAUCUGAUGCAGAUAAUGAAAAUGAACGUGUGUCGGUCCACACUGUUUGGACUGUUAUCGAGCAGAACUCAUCAUCAGCAUGGACGCAUGUCUCCUGGGAUGGUGUUUGACGCAUGAAGGGAUAUACUAAUCUUUAGCGCAUCUGGCAUGUAAAUAUCUUGGGAUGCUGGCUACAACACUGCCAUGAGAAGGCCUGUUCUCACUUUCAGGUGACGUAAACAAGAAGCGGGCAGCAUCGUCUCUUGCAAAUGUAAACAAACUUGUAUGUCUGAGCGAUUGGCUGAAUAAGAAGUAGGACCAAGUGGACCUGUAGGCUCUAAAGUUUGAUAUUGUUUUAUUUUUGAAUGAAGGUUGUUUUUGUACAUAAUUCUACAUUUAUCAACAUUCAUGAUAAAGAGAUUGCACUACAGUACUUGUAUUAGGUGAAUUAAAAAAUACUAUUUAUUUUGUUUUUUACAGUGCAAAUAUAAAGUGAGCACUGCACACUUUGUAUUCCUUGUAACUGAAAUCAAUACAUCUGAAAAUGUAGAAAACGUCCAAAAAUAUUUCAAUGAAUGUUAUUCAAUUA